rnacentral:rRNA from 1 species
GGCCCGCUCGCCGAAAGCCCAAGGUUUCCUGCGCAACGUUCAUCGGCGCAGGGUGAGUCGGCCCCUAAGGCGAGGCCGAAAGGCGUAGUCGAUGGGAAACAGGUUAAUAGUCCUGUACCUUUAUGCAAUGCGAUGGGGGGACGGAGAAGGUUAGGUGGGCCGGGUGUUGGACGUCCUGGUUCAAGCGUGUAGGCGUGCCCGAUAGGCAAAUCCGUUGGGCUUAGCCGAGGCGUGAUGACGCAAGACUCUCACGAGUCCCAAGCCACUGAGACCCCGCUUCCAGGAAAAGCCUCUAAGCUUCAGUUGCAUGAAGACCGUACCGCAAACCGACACAGGUGGGCAGGAUGAAGAUUCUAAGGCGCUUGAGAGAACUCAGGAGAAGGAACUCGGCAAAUUAGCACCGUAACUUCGGGAGAAGGUGCGCCCCGGUAGUGUGUAGCGGCUUGCCCGUGAAGCACGAUGGGGUUGCAGUGAAUUGGUGGCUGCGACUGUUUAAUAAAAACACAGCACUCUGCAAACACGAAAGUGGACGUAUAGGGUGUGACGCCUGCCCGGUGCCGGAAGGUUAAGUGAUGGGGUGCAAGCUCUUGAUCGAAGCCCCGGUAAACGGCGGCCGUAACAAUAACGGUCCUAAGGUAGCGAAAUUCCUUGUCGGGUAAGUUCCGACCUGCACGAAUGGCGUAACGAUGGCCACACUGUCUCCUCCUGAGACUCAGCGAAGUUGAAGUGUUUGUGAAGAUGCAAUCUACCCGCUGCUAGACGGAAAGACCCCAUGCACCUUUACUGUAGCUUUGCAUUGGACUUUGAUGAGACUUGUGUAGGAUAGGUGGGAGGCCUUGAAGGCGGGAUGCUAGUCCCGCUGGAGCCGUCCUUGAAAUACCACCCUGGUGUCAUUGAGGUUCUAACCUGGAUCCAUUAUCUGGAUCGGGGACCGUGCAUGGCAGGCAGUUUGACUGGGGCGGUCUCCUCCCAAAGGGUAACGGAGGAGUUCGAAGGUUCGCUAGGUACGGUCGGACAUCGUACUGAUAGUGCAUUGGCAAAAGCGAGCUUGACUGCGAGACGGACAUGUCGAGCAGGUGCGAAAGCAGGACAAAGUGAUCCGGUGGUUCUGUAUGGAAGGGCCAUCGCUCAACGGAUAAAAGGUACGCUGGGAUAACAGGCUGAUGACUCCCAAGAGUUCAUAUCGACGGAGUCGUUUGGCACCUCGAUGUCGGCUCAUCUCAUCCUGGGGCUGUAGCCGGUCCCAAGGGUAUGGCUGUUCGCCAUUUAAAGAGGUACGUGAGCUGGGUUUAAAACGUCGUGAGACAGUUUGGUCCCUAUCUGCAGUGGGCGUUGGAGAUUUGACGGGGGCUGCUCCUAGUACGAGAGGACCGGAGUGGACGCACCUCUGGUGUACCGGUUGUGACGCCAGUCGCAUCGCCGGGUAGCUAUGUGCGGAAGAGAUAACCGCUGAAAGCAUCUAAGCGGGAAACUUGCCUGAAGAUGAGAUCUCCCGGAGGCUUGACCUCCCUGAAGGGUCGUGGAAGACCACCACGUUGAUAGGCCGGGUGUGGAAGCGCAGUAAUGCGUUAAGCUAACCGGUACUAAUUGCCCGUGCGGCUUGAUC